UAAAUAUACAAGCUACGUAAGUGUAUCUCUGCGUGCAUAUAAGAUACUCUGAUGUUGCUUGGUGCAUGGAAGGUGCUCACAAUGUGCAGGAUACUUGCUUUGCUAUGAUUGCUGUUUCCUGUAGACUUCAAUAAGACUGAGCUUUCGUUUCAGACACUGUUUCCAUCCAUCUUCAGAAAAAGCUAAGGAAUUUCAACCAUGAAAUGAGCACAUAUGCUAUAAAGACGGGCCCAUUGCCACAGCUGUGACAAGCUCUAGUCUUAGCAUGACAUAAAAAUGCCAUUGCUGUCUGGUGUGGAAAGUGUUAGCAAACACAAUAUGGCACGUAAGUAUUGGCAGGUGAAGGUGCUUCCCAAUUACUGCUAGAAAGAAGUGCAUGAAAUAUGAUUCUGUUCUUGUUAAGAGUUACCUAUAUAUGUUAUAGACACAGAGUACACCAUCAAAGGAUUAACCACUAAGGAGGAACAGCUUAGGCUAGUAAAGGGGAGCCUUAUGACACCUUAGGUCUCUGGCCAACUGCAAUAUGACCACAGAUUUUUUUUUUUUUUCACUUUGUCCUUAACUAACAUUGUUCCUUCUGCCUGUGGUUUCUAGCAGGCUUUUGGCAGCUGGGGAUUUCUGCACAGAAGCGGUCCUUGAAGCAUCCCUUGGACAGGGCUGCAAAAGGCUGGAAGUAGGAUGAGCUUUUUGUUCAUCUCGCUGCCAGGUGAUGAGCUUUGCACACCAGACAGACUUGGUGCCAUCACUCCUAACAGCUUCCAGUUAUGGCUGCUUUCUGAGCCCUGCAUGAACUCCAGCAGGAUGCUGGCUCAAAUUCUGCAUCUCAGCAACCAAGAUGUAUGGCUAAUAAAUCCUGAUUGCAGACAAAGAGUGCUUAAGAUCAGGAAUCUCGGCCCACAGGAUGAACCGAGAAGUGGAAGACAGAGAUGGUGGCUGAAGUCUGCCAAGAUUCAGAGGAGUGCAGCAGCGUGCCAGAUCCUUGCUGGAUUUGAGCAUAUCAGCCUGGUAAGCAUCCAGGAAGGGGGCCCAACUGGGUGUGCAGUGCUGCUGUUAUGGUAUAGUAUCACCAGUCAUGUGAUUGCUAACACAGAACUCGCCUCUGAAAAAUAUCAGUUUUCCAAGCUAAUGCAGAGCAAGGCCUUGAAGACAAAUAAAAGUAUUUAUAUAGUGCAUUUCUUUUUACCAGCAAACAUGGAAAAAAGCACAGUGAUUCCAGAUCACGAUGUCAGAGAUACAUGAAGAACAUCUGUCACUAUGACAGAAUCAUAAAUCAUCAUGCUGAAAUCCUGACAAGCCCUUUUUCAUUGGCAAAGUAGGUCUUUAAAAUGAGAUAUAAUUAAGUUGCUUAGAGCACAUAUAAUCUAUCUUAACUGUUCUUAUUUUCAAGUGAAAAGUAUAGAUGAAAUGUACCAGAUUUGUUUUGUUUUUAAAUAGUCUAAGACAUUUAAAAAAUAAUGGGUAUGACUUACCAGAGCAGCUGAGGGUGUUAUGAAUUGUCCCAUGUGAAGAUGAUACUAGGAAAAUAAAUCUGAUUAGGAGAACUGUUGUUAGUAAAUG
ensembl:lncRNA